AGAAUCAACGCUGGCGGCGUGCCUAACACAUGCAAGUCGAACGAGAAAGUGGAGCAAUCCAUGAGUAAAGUGGCGCACGGGUGAGUAACACGUGACUAACCUACCUUUUAGUGGGGGAUAACCUAGGGAAACCUGGGCUAAUACCGCAUAAUACCUACGGGUCAAAGCAGCAAUGCGCUGAAAGAGGGGGUCGCGGUCGAUUAGUUAGUUGGCAGGGUAAUGGCCUACCAAGACUGUGAUCGAUAUCCGGCCUGAGAGGGCGCACGGACACACUGGAACUGAAACACGGUCCAGACUCCUACGGGAGGCAGCAGUGGGAAUUUGCGCAAUGGGGGAAACCCUGACGCAGCAACGCCGCGUGGAGGAUGAAGUCCCUUGGGACGUAAACUCCUUUCGAUCGGGACGAUAAUGACGGUACCGGAAGAAGAAGCCCGGCUACUUCGCGCCAGCAGCCGC
rnacentral:rRNA from 1 species